rnacentral:rRNA from 1 species
CUCCUACGGGAGGCAGCAGUGGGGAAUCUUGCGCAAUGGGCGAAAGCCUGACGCAGCAACGCCGCGUGAGCGAAGAAGACCUUCGGGUUGUAAAGUUCUUUUCUGAAGGACGAGGAAGGACGGUACUUCAGGAAUAAGGAUCGGCUAACUACGUGCCAGCAGCCGCGGUAAUACGUAGGAUCCGAGCGUUAUCCGGAAUUAUUGGGCGUAAAGAGCUCGUAGGCGGUUUGUCGCGUCUGCCGUGAAAGUCCGGGGCUCAACUCCGGAUCUGCGGUGGGUACGGGCAGACUAGAGUGAUGUAGGGGAGACUGGAAUUCCUGGUGUAGCGGUGAAAUGCGCAGAUAUCAGGAGGAACACCGAUGGCGAAGGCAGGUCUCUGGGCAUUAACUGACGCUGAGGAGCGAAAGCAUGGGGAGCGAACAGGAUUAGAUACCCUGGUAGUCCAUGCCGUAAACGUUGGGCACUAGGUGUGGGGGACAUUCCACGUUUUCCGCGCCGUAGCUAACGCAUUAAGUGCCCCGCCUGGGGAGUACGGCCGCAAGGCUAAAACUCAAAGGAAUUGACGG